CUUCACCUUUACCUUUUUCUGAGUAACUUUCACUUUGAAAACGGCCUCAAAGUAACUAUUUUCAAACUCAAUUAAAAUUUUCACUCCUCUACUGUUUUUUCUCAAACUGUCUUUCAUGUAAACCUUUUUCAACUCAAAUCCUUCAAAUCCUAUCACAAUCACACUACUCUUAGAAUUAGGUUCUGCCCCCUUGUGUAAGCAUUGCUUUGGGUACCUUGAGUACCCACUGAACUUUGAUGCACAAGGUUGGCAAUUCAACACUUGCA
rnacentral:lncRNA from 1 species